UACAGAGGUCCCAAGCGUUGUUCGGAUUCACUGGGCGUAAAGGGUGCGUAGGUGGCGGGGUAAGUUUGAUGUGAAAGCUUCGAGCUCAACUCGGAAAUGGCAUUGAAUACUAUCCUGCUUGAGGGUCGGAGGGGAGACUGGAAUUCUCGGUGUAGCAGUGAAAUGCGUAGAUAUCGAGAGGAACACCAGUGGCGAAGGCGAGUCUCUGGACGACACCUGACACUGAGGCACGAAAGCUAGGGGAGCAAACAGG
rnacentral:rRNA from 1 species